rnacentral:snRNA from 1 species
GUGCUCGAUUUCGGCAGCACAUAUACUAAAAUUGGAACGAUACAGAGAAGAUUAGCAUAG